CAACUUGAGAGUUUGAUCCUGGCUCAGAACGAACGCUGGCGGCAGGCUUAAUACAUGCAAGUCGAACGGCUGUAGCAAUACAGCAGUGGCAGACGGGUGAGUAACACGUGGGAACCUACCUAGGGGUACGGAAUAACUCAGGGAAACUUGUGCUAAUACCGUAUACGACCUCAGGGUGAAAGAUUUAUCGCCCCUAGAUGGGCCCGCGCUGGAUUAGCUAGUUGGUGAGGUAAAAGCUCACCAAGGCGACGAUCCAUAGCUGGUCUGAGAGGAUGAUCAGCCACACUGGGACUGAGACACGGCCCAGACUCCUACGGGAGGCAGCAGUAGGGAAUCUUGGACAAUGGGCGAAAGCCUGAUCCAGCCAUGCCGCGUGAGUGAUGAAGGCCUUAGGGUUGUAAAGCUCUUUCGCCAGGGAAGAUAAUGACGGUACCUGGAUAAGAAGCCCCGGCUAACUUCGUGCCAGCAGCCGCGGUAAUACGAAGGGGGCUAGCGUUGUUCGGAAUUACUGGGCGUAAAGCGCACGUAGGCGGCAUUCCAAGUUGGAGGUGAAAUCCCCGGGCUUAACCUGGGAACUGCCUCCAAAACUGGGAAGCUAGAGUCCGAGAGAGGUGAGUGGAAUUUCCAGUGUAG
rnacentral:rRNA from 1 species